GUUAGGAAUAUUGGACAAUGGGCGCAAGCCUGAUCCAGCCAUGUCGCGUGAACGAUGAAGGCCUUCGGGUUGUAAAGUUCUUUAGCCGAUGAUUAUAAUGACUGUAGUCGGAAAAUAAGCCCCGGCUAACUUCGUGCCAGCAGCCGCGGUAAUACGAAGGGGGCGAGCGUUAUUCGGAAUCACUGGGCGUAAAGCGUGCGUAGGCGGUCUCGUAAGUUAGGAGUGAAAGCCCAGGGCUCAACCUUGGAAUUGCUCUUAAAACUGCAAGGCUAGAAUCUCGGAGAGGAUAGCGGAAUUUCCAGUGUAGCAGUGAAAUGCGUAGAUAUUGGAAGGAACACCAGUGGCGUAAGCGGCUAUCUGGACGAGUAUUGACGCUGAGGCACGAAAGCGUGGGGAUCAAACAGGAUUAGAAACCCGGGUAGUCC
rnacentral:rRNA from 1 species